UGAAUAUCACAAUUUUAUAUUUUUUAUUUAGUUAUUAUUGUACCAGAGAUUGAACCCAGAUGCUCUUUACCACUGAGCCACACCCCAGUCCUUUUAUUUUGUUUUUGUUUUGAGACAGGUCUCACUAAGUUACUUAGGGCCUCUCUAACUAGCUGAAUAUUAUAAUUUUAAAGGUGUUCCCCAGAAUUAAUAAGGUGGUCUCACAUACUGAUUCUAAUGUCACAAAUUAAAAGUUGCCCUUUAAAAAGUGAUACUUAUUCUUCAAAAAAGAGAAACAUGAGUGUAAUUCAAUGGAUUAUUUCCUGAAUUGUUUGAAUUUAGGGACAAUUCCAGAAUCUGAUAAAAGCAGAAAUUUGGGGGAGCUCUCUCAUUGAGCAAAGCACUCCAAUAAAGAGUAAGUCAGAAUUUCUCAAAAUGUGACGCUAAAAGCCAUAUAUAUGUUAAUAUCACAUGAUAAUUUUAAAAUGCAGAUUCUUUGCCUGAAGAGUCCAGAAAAGUGCCUGUUUCUCAUUCAAACCAAAAUGUAAGCACCAUUGCUCUAGGUCUGAAUCAGGUGGUCACAGGGCUAGAUUUUAAAAACACAGCUCUCUAAAUUCAUCAUCUCUCUUUUUAUUUUAUCUUUUAUGUAUCUUAUUUGCUUGUUUACAGAUAAACUAGCAGUCUGUUCACAUGGGAGUUGGAUGAGAUAUCUGCACAGGGCAACUUUUCUGAAUAGGAUUUUAGCUAAGCCCCUGCGGUGUGGCUGACACUAAGAAUUGAUGCCUUAGAAAUCUCAGUUCCAUUACAUAAGGUAGCUGGUACUUACUGAUUAGGGAGAUUAACAGAAGAAAACACUAGCUUUUAAUCUCUUCCAGACUUUCAGACUCCUGUGACCCACAACUCCUCCUCUCCUGUCAAAUUAGAGAUAAAGAGGCUUCAUUGAUGCACAAUUCUAUUGAUAAUUUCCCUGUGGCAGUUUAAAUUUAUCUUAGGAACUGGUUCUUGAGUGAAUGCUCUCUCACUUGCCUAGCUGCUGUAUUUCUGGGUAGAUAGUAAGAAAUUUCAAAAGUUGCAACACUUUUUGUGGAAACAGCUUUAUAGAAAGUGGGGAUCUAUCACUCUAGAGAGGCAAUGGAAAAGUCAAGCCAAAUCCGACCAUGUUGAUUGUAUCUCUGGUUUAGGACUUGUGGCAUGCCU
rnacentral:lncRNA from 1 species